UUCCAAAGCUAUAGGCCCCUGGACCAGGACACCAAUGUUCCCUGGGGAAUGUAUUAGAAAGUAUAGCACACAGCUCUCAUCCGAGUCACCUGUGCAAGAAGUGUACCUGUGCUCACUUCCUUUGUCUCCAAGAACAGAGAGCAAACCCACAUUCCUGGACACUUCUCAGGGGUCCUGCUUGCUGCAGUAAACAUUCUGUGAGGUCCUACUUCCUAAAGAUUCUACAACCUCUCCGAACAACUCCACCAAGGGCAGACAUUUACAUUCAAUUCCCAGCAAAGUCAUCGUCUUGUUAGAGCCCCUGCUCAGUGAUUUCUGGCAACAUCAAAGAAAUGAUACAACAAAUGGGAUGCUCUCUGAACAUAAAGAUGCUGGAUCCUUCCGUCUCUUUUAGGAAAUAAUGUUGUCAGCAACACCUCUCAGUCGAGAUUACCA